GCUUUAUCUGGCUUCUUCUUUGAGAUACGGGGGGAUUUACAAUUGAGUAAUAACCAAUUGCUUCAACUCCAGCUUCUUUCUUCAACUUGAGAAUUCAAAACCAAGAAGGCAAGAAGCCGAGAAAACAGCUGGGGGAACCACAAGGUUUCUGAUGUUCUUUUGAGGCUUAGGGGAGCCUGGCAGGCAGAAUCAGGAAAUGAACCGUGACUGCUGAAAGUACUUCAGGGCUUUCUACUAGCCCCCACAGACAGAUCAGCUUCUGCAGGCCAAAGAGGACAUCAGAUUCCCCUAAAACUGGAGUUACAGCCAGAUGAGAGCUACCACGCUUAUAGUAAAGACUGUGAGCUCUCGGCUCCGUUUUCUCCAGCUGCUUGCUGCCUGCCUCCACCAUGAUGUACUCUGCCCUCGGGAACUGUAAGCCCAAACAAGCUCUUUCUUCUACCCUUCCAGGCAGACAAUCUCCAACAGCCACAGCAGAGAAAUACUAUGCUGGCAUGCAGAGUGUCCCCAAAAGCUCAUAUCCACUUAGAACCCCAAGACAUGACCUCCUUUGGAAAUAAGGCAUUUGCAGGCUCCCACAGGAAGCCAUGCUGAUCUCCAUGACCUGUGCUGGCACCGAGGGCCAUGAUGGUGCCCGUGAUCCAUGCUGCAGUCAGAGGCCGUGUGGGUGCCCAUGGUCUGUGUUACCACUGAAGGCUAUGUAAAUGUCAAGGCCUACGUUGUAGCCGAGGCACUUGUGGAUGGCCAUGGCCCAUGCUGGUGCUGACUGCAAAGGGCAAGGAAGCUUCUUUUGCAAUGGUGCUGCUGACUGCAGACUCAGAGCUGAGACUAAGAGACAUCCAAGGCUUCUGGGACAACUUCUCUCCCCGACUCCACCCCAACCUCCCUCAAAAGAAAUACUCUACAUGGAAAGCUGCCGUGGGACAAUGGCGUGUACCCUGUCAAUUGUAUUUUAAUAAAACGCUGAUUGGCCAGUAGCCAGGCAGGAAGUAUAGGCUGGGCAAUGAGAACAGGAGAAUUCUGGGAAGAAGGAAGUCCCAUUCUGCAGCCGUGACCCAGCCACAGACACGUGACUAACAUAGCCAUGAAUAAUGGGCUAAUAUAAGAGUUAAUAAGA